GACUUUUUCGGUGUUGGACUACGUUUCCCACAGGCCCCAGAGCCGCCAAUGACCUUCGACCUUUGGUUCACCUUCCGGUGUCGUGGUCAUUAUUGGGUUAUACCUGCUCUGCAAGUUCUGAAGUGGAGAGCAUUGCUACUAACUUAAUGGCCCAUACAAGCCAUUACACAGCUAAGAUACAGCAUAUUUCCAACACUCCAGGAUGCUCCCUUCUGUUUCCUUCCAGUCAUUACCAACUUGCCUUUACCCCCAACAAAGGGAUCGAACCUGCACCCCCUGCAGUGGAAGCACAGAGUCUUAACUACUGGACAGCCAGGGAAGUCCCCCAUUAUGUACAUUUUUUUCUGCCCUCUUUUGCUCAACCUCAUGUUUAUGAAAAUCAUCUGCUGUUUGUUCAGUUUUAUUCUUAAGUAAUCUUCCACUAUAGGAAUGUAUCUCAUUUAAUUUUUCCCUACUUCUGUUGAUGGAUGUUUGGGUUGUUAACAGUUUCAGGACAGUAUAAAGAAAUGCAGCUAAAAUAAUUCUUUUACAUACUUUUUGGAUGGAAAAACUAAUUUCUGUUGGGCAUAUACACAAGAGUGGAAUUGCUAAGUCACAGUAUAUAUGUUUUUUUUAGUAGAUUGUGUCAAAUAGUUGCCCAAAGUAACUGAAAUAGUUUACACUCAACAACAAGGGGUUUACAGUUGUAACAGGUGAAAAAUGCAUAAACUAACUUCUACAGUAGGGGUUAACAAGUUUUUUUUUUUCUGUAAAGGACAGAUAUUAAAUAUUUUAGGCUUUGUGGAUUACACAGUCUCUGUCACACCUACUCAACUCUACCAUUGUAGCACAUAAACAGCUAUAGAUGAUAUGUAGCUUUGUUAUAUUAAUCCUGUUUAUCACUUUUCAUUCUGUUUAUUUGAACCUGUGGAUUCAGAUUACCAUCUGGAUUCGUUUCCUUUGCCCAAUGAAGCUUUUCUUCUACCUAUCUCCUUUGUGUUAUUAUUGUCGAACAUACUACAUUUAUAUAUGUUGCAGGCCCAAUAAUACCUGUUAUGU